rnacentral:sRNA from 1 species
UUUUCCGUGGGAGUAAGGAAGUGCUUUUGAAUGAGGUACUGAGGGCCAAGGUGUUGGAAGUUCCUAAUUCUUUCCUCGGUUAACUGUGAAACUCUGCGUAUUGGGAAGGCCUGGCCUCAGUCAUCAGGCCAGGAGAGGUAUUGGACGCCGCGCACGCGCUCGUCUGCCAGCGAGGCCCAAAGGGGAAGCCUAGCGGAGCUCAGUGUGGCAGCUGCUGGCCUCUGGGCCGGUUGUGCAUCUAAUCAUCCAAAAAAUUCAGCUCAAAACCUGACUAAAGAUAGUACUUUAAAACAUGAAGGCUUCUAUUCAGAGAACUUAACUGAAUCUAGAAAAUUCCUGAAAAGUAGGGAAAAACAGUCCAGCCUGACCGAAAUAAAAGGAUCUGUUUAUGAAACAACAUACAGUCCUCCUGAAUGUCCAUUCUGUGGAAAAAUAGAGGAGCACAGUGAAGAUAUGGAAACUCAUGUGAAAACAAAGCAUGCCAAUCUUUUAGACAUUCCAUUGGAAGACUGUGAUCAACCACUCUAUGAUUGUCCUAUGUGUGGGCUCAUAUGUACAAAUUACCAUAUUCUUCAGGAACAUGUUGACUUGCAUUUGGAAGAAAACAGCUUUCAGCAAGUGGCAUUGUUUAAAUAAUCAUUAUGGUGGCUUAGAAGUGGAAAAAUCCUAUAUGAAUGUUAGAAGCCCACUGAACGAAAAUAAAAAGUAGAUCCCAAGAGAAACCAAUUGUGUUUUACCCUAUUUCAGUUUUUUAAGGCAUGGAUAGAGUCCAGUGUUCUGGUGAUCUACAAUUGGCUCACCAGCUUCAGCAAGAAGAAGACAGAAAGAGGAGAUCUGAAGGAUCAAGACAAGAAAUAGAAGAAUUUCAGAAGCUGCAGAGACAAUAUGGUUUAGAUAAUUCUGGAGGAUACAAACAACAACAACUACGAAAUAUGGAGAUAGAAGUAAAUAGGGGAAGAAUGCCUCCAUCUGAAUUUCAUAGGAGAAAAGCUGAUAUGAUGGAAUCAUUAGCUCUUGGUUUUGACGAUGGAAAAACAAAAACUUCCGGAAUUAUUGAAGCACUUCAUAGGUAUUAUCAGAAUGCUGCCACAGAUGUGAGACGGGUGUGGCUUUCUUCAGUGGUGGAUCACUUUCAUUCAUCUUUAGGCGACAAAGGUUGGGGUUGUGGUUACAGAAAUUUCCAAAUGCUACUUUCAUCAUUAUUACAAAAUGAUGCUUAUGAUGAUUGCUUAAAAG